UGGGGAAUUUUGCACAAUGGGCGCAAGCCUGAUGCAGCGACGCCGCGUGAGGGAUGAAGGCCUUCGGGUUGUAAACCUUUUUCGCUCAUGGUCAAGCCGCAGCUUUGGGUUGUGGUGAGGGUAGUGGGUAAAGAAGCGCCGGCUAACUACGUGCCAGCAGCCGCGGUAAUACGUAAGGUCCGAGCGUUGUCCGGAAUCAUUGGGCGUAAAGGGUACGUAGGCGGGUAAGCAAGUUAGAAGUGAAAUCCUAUAGCUCAACUAUAGUAAGCUUUUAAAACUGCUCAUCUUGAGGUAUGGAAGGGAAAGUGGAAUUCCUAGUGUAGCGGUGAAAUGCGCAGAUAUUAGGAGGAAUACCGGUGGCGAAGGCGACUUUCUGGCCAUAACCUGACGCUGAGGUACGAAAGCGUGGGUAGCAAACAGG
rnacentral:rRNA from 1 species